rnacentral:snRNA from 1 species
GAUGUGAGGGGAUCUAGCUGUGACAUCAAUCACCAGGAUUGAUUUUGCUUAUCUGGUUGGCUGAUUCCGUGGGUUCACUUUCUGCCUCACAGCUGCAUCCCCAUCCUUCCUCAAGCUGCACAUUCAGUGGAAGAGGAGCACCUUCCUUCCAUUAUAGAGGAGGGCUUGUCUUCAUUCAAAUGUGUAGGUGUAGCUGCAUUUCCUUCCUAGAACUGCUAAACAGGCAAAUACCUUGAUAAAAAUGUGAGUGCCCCAUUAGGGAAAAUGUUACAAUAGGUAAUGAAUUUGUAUGU